GGCCUAUCAGCUAGUUGGUGGGGUAACGGCCCACCAAGGCAUCGACGGGUAGCUGGUCUGAGAGGACGAUCAGCCACACUGGGACUGAGACACGGCCCAGACUCCUACGGGAGGCAGCAGUGGGGAAUCUUGCGCAAUGGGCGAAAGCCUGACGCAGCAACGCCGCGUGCGGGAUGACGGCCUUCGGGUUGUAAACCGCUUUCAGCAGGGACGAAGAUGACGGUACCUGCAGAAGAAGCCCCGGCCAACUACGUGCCAGCAGCCGCGGUAACACAUAGGGGGCAAGCGUUGUCCGGAUUCAUUGGGCGUAAAGAGCUCGUAGGCGGCUCAGCAAGUCGGGUGUGAAACCUCCGGGCUCAACUCGGAGACGCCAACCCGAUACUGCUGUAGCUAGAGUCCAGUAGGGGAGCGUGGAAUUCCCGGUGUAGCGGUGAAAUGCGCAGAUAUCGGGAGGAACACCGGCGGCGAAGGCGGCGCUCUGG
rnacentral:rRNA from 1 species